GGAUGAAGAGCCAUACCAAAGAUGAAAUAGUCCAGGCUCUUAUUUGGUAAAUAUUCAUAGAUCAACAUCUUAUCUUCUUUGCAAAUACUUUGCAAAUGCAACAACCAGAAAGCCGGACAAGGUUUCUCUGUUGGAGUUUUGAUAUCAACCGUACUUUUAUUUUUGAAUCCCUGUAUCCCUUGUCCUGACUAUUUAGAUAAUCUUUUCGCUACUAUUUUUUGUCCAUUUGAAAGUUGACCCUGAAAGUACAUUUCCCAAUUCAAUUCACAGAUGUCCUGCCAUAGCUAUUUCUUGUUCUUCCUCUCAUGCUUCUUUCAGUCAAGGUCAUCAAAAUUUGAAAAGUAACCGGCAAU
rnacentral:misc_RNA from 1 species